UUCUUUUCAGUUCUGUUGUUCUACACUAAACCCAGUACGGCAGUCGAUUCAUUUUUCUUUUUUUAGGGUUUUAAGCCUCAGUUCUUCUAUUUCCGCCCAAAACACAUUUCCAAACAACCGAUUGCUGCCACUGGUCUUCGCAUCUUGCCGCUGCCGCAACUCAUUGACCCUAUUCCUACCUAGUAAAGGUAGAGAGAUUGUUUUUGGUGGACCCUCGGCUCAAGACAAGGUGAAGAAGAGAAAAGAUGAAGAAGAAGAAGAACAAAGAAGAAGAAACACGAGGAACAAGAAGAAAAAGAACAAAGAAGAAGUAGCAUCAAACAUUAACAAUAAGAAAAUAAGAGAACUGAAGCGAACGAAAUAACAUGGUCUUAAUAGAGCUCUAAGAAUAUGAAAGAGUGCUACUAAUACUACUGGUAUUGGACGAGGAAACUGUCGACUACCUCCUAACCUUCUACCCUAAUUUUCAAUCUUCACAUCCUUCUUAGUAAGUUGAAGCAGCACCAAGUUUUGCCUAAUUACCUCUCCCCAGUACCUUUUUGGGUUACCACCGAAUCUUAAAAUUUAGAUCAUGAAGGAUCUCUAGAUCCGUAUUGGACACCUGCAGACGGGUCCGAGCAACUUAGAGUAUACCUAAUGAUGCAAUCAUAGGUCGUUCUUAAAACAUGACAAGUCGUCAAGUAUAAUUGUAAUGAUAAUGUUUAUAUUCA